rnacentral:rRNA from 1 species
CGUGGCACACGGCUCAGUAACACGUAGUCAACAUGCCCAGGGGAUGUGGAUAACCUCGGGAAACUGAGGAUAAACCGCGAUAGGCCAAGGUUUCUGGAAUGGACACUGGCUGAAACCUACAUGGCCCCUGGAUUGGACUGCGGCCGAUCAGGCUGUUGGUGAGGUAAUGGCCCACCAAACCUGUAACCGGUACGGGCUUUGAGAGAAGGAGCCCGGAGAUGGGCACUGAGACAAGGGCCCAGGCCCUAUGGGGCGCAGCAGGCGCGAAAAUUCUGCAAUAGGCGAAAGCUUGACAGAGUUACUCUGAGUGAUGCCCGCUAAGGGCAUCUUUUGGCACCUCUAAAAAUGGUGCAGAAUAAGGGGUGGGCAAGUCUGGUGUCAGCCGCCGCGGUAAUACCAGCACCCCGAGUGGUCGGGACGAUUAUUGGGCCUAAAGCAUCCGUAGCUUGUUCUGCAAGUCUUCCGUUAAAUCCACCUGCUCAACAGAUGGGCUGCGGGAGAUACUACAGGGCUAGGAGGCGGGAGAGGCAAGCGGUACUCAGUGGGUAGGGGUAAAAUCCUCUGAUCCACUGAAGACCACCAGUGGCGAAGGCGGCUUGCCAGAACGCGCUCGACGGUGAGGGAUGAAAGCUGGGGGAGCAAACCGGAUUAGAUACCCGGGUAGUCCCAGCUGUAAACGAUGCAGACUCGGUGAUGGGUU